CAUUGCUUUCUGAGAAAAAUAGAAAGUAUGGUCUGCCCAGUGAGAUUUUUAACGGCCGCAAUAUUUGUGCGAAGGUAGCAUAAUCAUUUGUCUUUUAAUUGAUGACUGGAAUGAAUGGCUGGACGGGGAAAUACUGUCUCUUUUAUAUUUAUUUGAAAUUUACUUUCAAGUUAAAAGGCUUGAAUUUUAUAGAGGGACGAGAAGACCCUAUAGAGUUUUAUAAUAGGAUAUUUAAAUUUUUCUUAAAUUUAAUAUUUUAUUAUUUAGUUGGGGAGACAUUGUAAUAAAAUCUAUAUACAGAGUUAAUAGACAAUAAGUUUUUAUGAUCCAUAAUUUAUGAUAGUUAGAUUAAAUUACCUUAGGGAUAACAGCGUAAUAUUUUUUUAGAGUCCAAAUCGAUUAAAAUGCUUGCGACCUCGAUGUUGGAUUAAAGAACCUAAUUUGGAGAAGAAGCUAUUUUAGGUAGUCUGUUCGACUAUUAAAUCUUUACGUGA
rnacentral:rRNA from 1 species